AGGGUUUGAUCAUGGCUCAGAAUCAACGCUGGCGGCGUGCCUAACACAUGCAAGUCGAACGCGAAAGCCCCGCAAGGGGCAAGUAGAGUGGCAAACGGGUGAGUAACACGUGGGUGACCUGCCUUCGAGCGGGGGAUAACGUCCCGAAAGGGACGCUAAUACCGCAUAACAUCCUGCCUUUGAAGAGGUGGAGAUCAAAGCUGGGGAUCGCAAGACCCGGCACUUGAAGAGGGGCCCGCGCCUGAUUAGCUAGUUGGUGGGGUAAUGGCCUACCAAGGCAACGAUCAGUAUCCGGCCUGAGAGGGCGGACGGACACACUGGGACUGAGACACGGCCCAGACUCCUACGGGAGGCAGCAGUGGGGAAUUGUUCGCAAUGGGCGCAAGCCUGACGACGCAACGCCGCGUGGAGGAUGAAGAUUUUCGGAUCGUAAACUCCUGUCGAAUGGGACGAAUAGAUUGCGGGUUAACAGCCCGUAGUCCUGACGGUACCGUUAAAGGAAACCCCGGCUAACUCCGUGCCAGCAGCCGCGGUAAUACGGGGGGGGUAAGCGUUGUUCGGAAUUACUGGGCGUAAAGGGCUCGUAGGCGGCCAACUAAGUCAUACGUGAAAUCCCUCAGCUUAACUGGGGAACUGCGUGUGAUACUGGAUGGCUUGGAUGUGGGAGAGGGAUGCGGAAUUCCAGGUGUAGCGGUGAAAUGCGUAGAUAUCUGGAGGAACACCGGUGGCGAAGGCGGCAUCCUGGACCAUUAUUGACGCUGAGGAGCGAAAGCCAGGGGAGCAAACGGGAUUAGAUACCCCGGUAGUCCUGGCCCUAAACGAUGAAUGCUUGGUGUAGCGGGUAUCGAUCCCUGCUGUGCCGAAGCUAACGCAUUAAGCAUUCCGCCUGGGGAGUACGGUCG
rnacentral:rRNA from 1 species